AAUAUAUAGUCCUGUCAUAACCUUCAGGCUUUCUUGGUCGGAUCAGCCAGCCCACUGCCCUGCUUGCCUUCUCUCCUCCCAGAAAUAUUUGUUAUAACUUACUGCAGAGAUGAUACAUUACUAAUUUAUUAUAACUUCGUGGGAAUGUCAUCAGCCAUGAUCUCUUCCAGAUGAUGGAGCCACAGAAGAACUAGUGCCACGAAUGGAAAGCUUGUCCCAGAUCAUCCUGAGUCAGUAUUAUUGCCACAGGCUUUUGUGUAUAUGUACAUACCAAAUGAAGCUGGAAAGCUCCAAACUGCCUGCAUCUGUACCUUUACUAGCGGUUUGUUAUUUUAUAGUGAUGCAGUUUGCUCAAGAAGUAUUUACAUUUUCCUCAUAUAGACUAUCUGCUUUCAGAAGUUGUCCAGUUUAAAUAGCGGGAAUUCAUCCACUGAAGACACACAAUUUGGUUGAAACAUCUGUUUGAUAUUCUGUGCAACCAACUUCAUCUAUUCAUUAUACAAAAAGAACAGAGUCUUAUAAUAAACUUUUUUUUUUUUUUUCGGUCACGGCAAUCACACAGCUGCAGGAAACAUGGUUUAUCAUUAGAUAAUCACAUCCUUGGGGAUUGGACGCACCCGACUGUGUCUUAUGCUUUCUGUGUUGGAAAUUUAAUUUUCUCAUAAAUGUCAGAACGGUU